GAUGAACGCUGGCGGCGUGCCUAAUACAUGCAAGUCGAGCGAACAGACGAGGAGCUUGCUCCUCUGACGUUAGCGGCGGACAGGUGAGUAACACGUGGAUAACCUACCUAUAAGACUGGGAUAACUUCGGGAAACCGGAGCUAAUACCGGAUAAUAUAUUGAACCGCAUGGUUCAAUAGCGAAAGACGGUUUUGCUGUCACUUAUAGAUGGAUCCGCGCCGCAUUAGCUAGUUGGUAAGGUAACGGCUUACCAAGGCAACGAUGCGUAGCCGACCUGAGAGGGUGAUCGGCCACACUGGAACUGAGACACGGUCCAGACUCCUACGGGAGGCAGCAGUAGGGAAUCUUCCGCAAUGGGCGAAAGCCUGACGGAGCAACGCCGCGUGAGUGAUGAAGGUCUUCGGAUCGUAAAACUCUGUUAUUAGGGAAGAACAAAUGUGUAAGUAACUAUGCACGUCUUGACGGUACCUAAUCAGAAAGCCACGGCUAACUACGUG
rnacentral:rRNA from 1 species